AUUGAACGCUGGCGGUAUGCUUAACACAUGCAAGUCGAACGGUAACAGGCCUUCGGGCGCUGACGAGUGGCAGACGGGUGAGUAACGCGUAGGAAUCUGCCUCAUAGUGGGGGACAACGUGUGGAAACGCACGCUAAUACCGCAUACGCCCUACGGGGGAAAGCGGGGGACCUUCGGGCCUCGCGCUAUGAGAUGAGCCUGCGUUAGAUUAGCUAGUUGGUAGGGUAAAGGCCUACCAAGGCGACGAUCUAUAGCUGGUCUGAGAGGACGAUCAGCCACACUGGGACUGAGACACGGCCCAGACUCCUACGGGAGGCAGCAGUGGGGAAUAUUGGACAAUGGGCGCAAGCCUGAUCCAGCAAUACCGCGUGUGUGAAGAAGGCCCUAGGGUUGUAAAGCACUUUCAAUAGGGAGGAAAACCUGUCGGUCAAUACCCGGCAGCUUGACAUUACCUAUACAAGAAGCACCGGCUAACUCCGUGCCAGCAGCCGCAGUAAAAC
rnacentral:rRNA from 1 species